GAUGAACGCUGGCGGCGUGCCUAAUACAUGCCAGUCGAGCGAACGGACGAGAAGCUUGCUUCUCUGAUGUUAGCGGCGGACGGGUGAGUAACACGUGGAUAACCUACCUAUAAGACUGGGAUAACUUCGGGAAACCGGAGCUAAUACCGGAUGAUAUUUUGAACCGCAUGGUUCAAAAGUGAAAGACGGUCUUGCUGUCACUUAUAGAUGGAUCCGCGCUGCAUUAGCUAGUUGGUAAGGUAACGGCUUACCAAGGCAACGAUGCAUAGCCGACCUGAGAGGGUGAUCGGCCACACUGGAACUGAGACACGGUCCAGACUCCUACGGAGGCAGCAGUAGGGAAUCUUCCGCAAUGGGCGAAAGCCUGACGGAGCAACGCCGCGUGAGUGAUGAAGGUCUUCGGAUCGUAAAACUCUGUUAUUAGGGAAGAACAUAUGUGUAAGUAACUGUGCACAUCUUGACGGUACCUAAUCAGAAAGCCACGGCUAACUACGUG
rnacentral:rRNA from 1 species